GGGAACAACAUCCACAAGGUGUC
rnacentral:siRNA from 1 species